AUCCGGGUGACGAGUUCUAAAUAGGAUGAAACGCGCGUGUUGGAU
rfam:Schistosoma mattheei strain Denwood, Zambia genome assembly, scaffold: SMTD_scaffold0000272